rnacentral:lncRNA from 1 species
AUUCUCGAUCAUUGAGUCCCAAACAUGUAGGAUUCUAUAUCAGCCAUCAGAUCAGAUAGGAACCUCUAAUGUGUGUGACCCCGCAGGUUCGAACCUAAGCUGGUAGCACAGGAACCAAUUCCUGUACUAAUCGAAGUGACCAUCUAGCAAUGGUACCCGACGUCCGGAUAGGUCGAAGAGUCGCAAUCGCAACACUCAGAACCUACAUAAAUAUGGUUACUGUAUAAUUCAUCCUUUUGAUCCCUGUGUUU